UACGUAGGGUGCGAGCGUUGUCCGGAAUUACUGGGCGUAAAGAGCUCGUAGGUGGUUUGUCGCGUUGUCCGUGAAAACUCACAACUCAAUUGUGGGCGUGCGGGCGAUACGGGCAGACUGGAGUACUGCAGGGGAGACUGGAAUUCCUGGUGUAGCGGUGGAAUGCGCAGAUAUCAGGAGGAACACCGGUGGCGAAGGCGGUGGUCUGGGCCGGCACUGACGCUGAGGAGCGAAAGCGUGGGGAGCAAACAGG
rnacentral:rRNA from 1 species